rnacentral:tRNA from 1 species
GUCGUGUUAGUGUAGUGGUUUAACACAUCAGGCCCCCAGAGUUUGGCAUGGUCGUGAGAGUGUGGUUGGCCCCUUCCCCCUUCCCCCUUCCCCCGGCAGUGUUGGCAACUGAGGUACCUGAAGGCAGGAGUUCGAAUCUCCUACACGACA